GACAGCCUACGGGACGCAGCAGUGAGGAAUAUUGGUCAAUGGGCGCAAGCCUGAACCAGCCAAGUCGCGUGAGGGAUGACGGUCCUAUGGAUUGUAAACCUCUUUUGUCGGGGAGCAAGGCCCGCCACGUGUGGCGGGAAGGAGAGGACCCGAAGAAAAAGCAUCGGCUAACUCCGUGCCAGCAGCCGCGGUAAUACGGAGGAUGCGAGCGUUAUCCGGAUUUAUUGGGUUUAAAGGGUGCGUAGGCGGAAGGGUAAGUCAGCGGUCAAAUGUCGGUGCUCAAAACCGGCCUGCCGUUGGAACUG
rnacentral:rRNA from 1 species